rnacentral:lncRNA from 1 species
GUUUGAUUUGGUGUUCAGUGGUGUAGAUGGUGUUUGACAGUCAGCGAACAGUCAUGCGUUUUCAGUCAAAAAUACAGCGUUUACAGCACGAUAUGGAUUACAAUAUUCUGGAGAGAAUGAUUACAAGAGAUUCACCAGAGUUCAGGAGCCGCGGUCGCGCUGGAGGAGCGUCCGAACAGAGAGCUUCAUCUGCGGCCGUCGUGGAGAACCAGACAGCAGAGAUGCAAAGACGAGGACGGAGGAAGACAGGCGUUCUUUCAUUCUUCCGGAAAAUGGGAAGAGCUAUCCAUAAGCUUUGCUGUAUGGAUGCAGCAGCAACAUCUAGAGUGGACCACACUGACCCAUCUGGUAGCGCUCGUGCUGUCGCCUCAGAAUCGAGAGAACGGACUAGAAAGAUCUACCUCAAGAAAGAUUGCAGCAAAGUCAUCUUGAGAAUCGUCAAGGGCACCCCAGGGUCCCCGGAUCCGUGUGGGGUCUGUGUUGUCUCCAUUGACGUGGACCAACCUGGGAUCUCCAGUGUGUCUGUUGACCCGGGACCUAAUGGAUUCUACUCAGAUUCUUUUAGUCCGGGUCCACCUGGAGUCCUCCGCUUGUCCCUCGUCCUAUGUCCAUCUGGGGUGUUCAGUGUGUCUCUUAAUGCUCGUCCAUCUCGAGGCUGCAGGGUGUCUGUUGAUCCCGGUUCGUCUGGGUUCUUCAGUGUGUCCUCUUAUCCGGGUGCGUCUCGGGACUUCAGUGUAUCUGGUAACCCGGAUGCCUCUGGAGGCUGCAGGCUGUCUGUGGAUACGGGUCUGUUUGGGGGCUGCGCAGUGUCUGCUGCUCCGGGUCCGUCUGAUUGCGGCAUGUCAGCUGCUCCGGGUCCGUCUGAUUGCGGCAUGUCUACUGCUCCGGGACCGUCUAAUUGCGCAAUGUCUGCUGCUCCAGAUCCCAGUGAUUGCAGCAUGUCAGCUGUUCCAGAUCUGUCUGAUUGCAGCAUGGCUGCUGAUCUGGGUCUGUCUGAUUGCGGCAUGUCUGCUAAUCCGGGUCCGUCUGGUUGCACCAAGCCUGCUUAUCCGGGUCCGUCUGGUUGCACCAAGCCUGCUGCUCCGGUACCGUCUGGUUGCACAAUUCCUGCUGAUCCAGGUCUGUCUGGUUGCAUUACGUCUGCUGCUCCGGCUCCUCACUGGUGGAUCAGCAGUUCCCGCCCGCCAAGCAACAGAACCAUUCAGAUGUUGGUGAUCGAGUAUCCGGAUGGCUUCAUACCGCCGGCAGACCUGACUCUCUAUGUGUUGUGUGUUGUUGUAAUUCUUUUAUUGCAUGUAGUGUUUGUCUGCAUCUGAACUGUAAUAAAUUGUGUUUGAAUACACUU